UUCCCGGGCGCGUCGUGAUGACGCGUCCCGGCCUCCCCGGCCCCGCUCCCUCGAUCGCCGGGCCCUGCCGCGGCCGCGUCUAGCUCCCCGGGGGUCCCCGUUAUCGCCCGCGAGUGGCGGGGCGGUCCUGCCCCGUCACAUCCACCUUGUGAUCCCAUGUAGCCCAGUUUUACAUUUAUUUUGCUGAGUUGCUCUUGAUUUACAACUGUGAAGAUGAUUUACAGAAUGUGGCCCACUGUGUACUGUCUUUAUCUCAGUUAUUAAUGCAACCUUAGUAAUAAUGUGCAGUGUUAGAUUAUAUUAUAUAAUGAUGGUACCUCAGUGUCCUCAGAAAAUGUGCCCCUCACCCAUCCACCCACACAUACAUAAAACUUUGAAAAUGUUAUACAUACAUAUGAGAUUGUAUGGGUGCUAAAUGGGUUGGUUUUCAAAUCUAUAUGGCAUGUACAUUAAUGGGUCACAUUAAUGUAUAUUAAUGGUUCUUUAUCAGCUUCUAUUUGUGGGUAUAUAGUAUUCUGCAGGUUUCAUCUAUGCACAUAGUUACUUGUCCAGGCAGUGAGAGAAAUUACACAAGCAAAGCUUAUUUUAACUGCAGUUUACAUGCGUACCAUGAGUGUCUUUGCAUGCAAGAGAUAGUGUGCGAUGAAUUGUAAGUAAAGUGUAAUGCUGGCAGGCAGAACCAAACCUAAGAACUCUGGAGCUUAAUGUGUGAGUCUCUAGAGCUUAAGCCAAAAGCCAGAUGCCUCUCAGCUAAGGCUGUAGAGCCAACUCAUUCUUUCGCUCUGCAAGUGGUCUAACUGCCACUACAUGGGACAGUGAACCACACCAGCAGGUGUGUGGGUUACACAAGCAAAGGUAUGCACAACCCUCAUGCAUGCAAUAAAGAAUCUCUGGGCCAGAUUCUGUGGUACAUUCUCACCAUUUCAUAUUGCUCGUAACUAAAGGGACCAGAAAACAGCUGGAGCUACUCAGUUUGGGCAGCCUCCAGUGAUGGCUCCUGCACUGCAGCCCCCAGUGUAAGGGGAAUGUCAAGAGCAGGAAAGGGCAUGACUGGAGUACUUUUGGUCUGUGGCAGUCCACAGCUGCCCUCAUCUACACCCAGACUAAUGCAGAAUCAUUCUUGAAGUCAAGUAGCCACAAAUGGCUGUUUGUGAUUCCUAAACUCCUCUGAGCUGCAUUGGUACAGACAAGGUGCCUCCCAGAACCUAUUUUGAAAGAAUAAUCCCGUAUGUGUAGGGAUUAUAUCAUAAUGUAUACAUGGUGCAUCCAUAAAUAAAUGUAGAUUUGUCAUCCCUGAAGGAGGGAAAGCAAAUGCCAUUUCAAACCAUUGUAAGUACUAUUUAUACCACAGCCCUGUUAAGAGGAGGAGAGAGCUGUCACUAACAUGGAAAAAACACUUAUGUAAAAGCUACUUUUCCAAAUGUAAUGUUGAUUGGCAAGGCUAGAUACUCCCUGAGCUGACUCUUUUCCUUCUCUAAGGGUGAAGUCCUGCUCACCUUGCUCGUGUGAGUAUUCCCGUGAUGUCAAUGGAUCUAGUUUUGAAACAGAAUAGGAUUUGGUCUAACAUUUGGCUGCAAAAGUAUCUUUCAACAGUUAUUUACUAGGGGCUCCUUUUUUACCAACAAAGAGUUUUCUUCAGGUUCAGAAGGUACUGCAGGUCUGGUUACAGCAGUGUUUUCUAUUGGUUUUCCAGAGCUUGCAGCAGCCCUCUGACAUAAAGAAACAUACUGACGUUCAAAGUCUUGACCCAUUCAACUAUCUGUGGAUAACAUGCAUCAAUGAUAGGUACAGCAUCAGUCAUUUGAUGCUGGCUGCAUAUGCAUUUAAUUACUAUCUAUCAAAAUAAAUAUAAUUCUUCUGUUGGUUUUACCAGCAAAGAAAAUAGCAACCGACCAACAAACAAAAGCCAAAGAAAUUAGAGUUGCUUUUUAGGAAUAAUUGAUUGCUCUGAUUUUUUUUUUUACAAUAGGCCUUCAAGUAAAUCAAAGCUGAUUAAAAAGUCUGGUAUUGAGGGGUUUUUUGGCCAUCUCUUCAACUAUUUUUUAAACACUCAAAUACCUUAAUAAUAUUAUCUGAACACACAUAUAUACAUAUUAGUGGCAGUAGUGCUGGUGUUAGGAAGAAUAAAGUACCAUCUAUUAAACAGCAUCCAUCUCAGAACCUUCCUAACACCAAAAGAAAGUGCAUAUAUCACAGGACCACUGAGAUAAAGUAACGCUCAGCCCUAGAGGGCACAGAUUUCGUCUUUAUGUAAAUCAGCGCCUGUCACUGCAUGCAUGAUUCACUGCUCAGAGUGUACUCUUCUGUGACGAAUGAGUCCCGCUUAAUUUGGCAGUGAUUAUGCGGGUUGCUGGCCCUCUAAACCCCUUUGAACUUGUAAUUGCUGCUGGUUUAAAUAAUGAACAUUAAGGGGAGGUGGAUUCAUAAAACUGCAGAUAAUUACAAUUUUUUUCUUUUUUCCUUUGUUUUUUUUUUAUGGAAAUAAAAGGCUUCUGAGGCCAAAGAUAACUGUAUCGUGCUAGGUUGUUACCGAAAUAAAAUUGCAGUCUUGUUCAGUAUCAAGGAACGAAAGGGAAAGAAAGAGGAAAAGAGGGAGAGAGAGAGAGAGAGAGAGAGAGAGCUCAGAAUGGCUUGGAUGCCAGUAGAAAAGGAGGAGCAAUGGCAUUCAUGAAUAUUCAUAGCUAGUCACAUCUGUAGCAGGCUUGCUUUCCACCUUUUUUUCUUUGCAGUUCAACAUGGACUAGAAGUGCUAACAAAAGAAGGUGAUUGUGCAGUUCUAUCAGGUUCCAGGUUUAAUCUUUGCAGUGCAUACUGGUGAACUAACUUACUUUUUUUUCUUUUAAAGACUUCUGAUUUUAAAAAAAACCCACACCAACCAAACAAAAAACAUGCCUUUAACCAGAGGAUUUUUUUUCCUGUGCAGCUUUUUUUAAAAUUAUGUUCCUGUAAUUAUGAAUGUGAGGGAUUCAGUUGCCAAGGAAGCAUGAUGUGUAACAUGGAGCAAAAUCAUUUCCCCCAUUUAUGUGCAGUUUACUAAAUGCUCCAAUAAUUUUUCAUUCAGUACAAUUUUUAUUUUUGUGGGUUAUGUAUCAAAACAAAAGACAGUGUUAUUGAGGUGGGGGCAGAAACCAAAGUCAGCCAAGUCAGCCAGCUACUACCCAGAAACAACAAAGAAUGAAUGAUAAAUUUAGCAGCCUCAUGUUCAAUUUUCAAACAACACAGCAGAGAUUUAUAGCUUUGCUGCUUCCAUGGCAAAUGAAGCAGCACACAGAAAGCGUGUCUGUUUUUGAUUUUGCUAUGUUUUCCCCCUUUUUCUGUUCUUUGUCUAUUUGCAGGAUUUUUUUUAAAACUCUACAUUUUCUUUAUCCUGGUGUGAGAUGAAUAUCAAAGGCCUAGUGCUGUUGGUAAGCCUCCAGCAUACAACAGCAGCUCAAUGGGAUGUUAUUAGAACCUGCGUCACAACAUGGCAGACUGUGAUUAAUAGCAACUGUAUCAACGGUAGCAACUUCUCAACAACACCCUCCAGCAGCUCUAAAGGGGCCAAGUGAAAAGGGGGGGAAGUCUGUAAAAACUAGCUACCAAAGGUUCAGUUAUGCAUAUGAGUAGGUUAUGUCACAACUAUGCAACUGCUUUCAGCCAGAAGAUAGUGGUGGUAUUUAUUUAAAAGAACACUGCCAAACACAGACUGAUCAGAAUUUUUGAUUUGCCAGAGCCAAACACAUUAAGAACUGAACUUCUGGAUAGAGAGAAGGAUCUUAUGGAGCUCAGGAAUGAUUUUAGUGAUGUAAUGGAGGUCCCUACAAAGACAUCAACAGAAAUUUUCCCAGCGCUUCAGCGAUAUGUAAGCAACGGCAGGGUUGUCAAAAGUUCUCUUGCAUAUACGUAGAGGAAACUGACUUUUAUUUCAAAUGAAGUUUGAAUUUGCAUCAUUGCUCAAUCAUUUUUCUAAAAUUACAACUUGGAAACUUGGAAACUGGCCCAAACCAAACCCCUAGAUCCAAACACUCUGGAAUGUAUAAAGUUUUUCAAAAACCCAAUCCAAAUCCAGAAAAUAAUUAUGCAAAUGUCCCUUUAUCUUCAAGGGGAACCAAACCAAAUGUCAAAACAACCCAGAUUUGGAGGUGUUCCAGCCUCAGACCUGAAAUGUAGAGAGUGGUUCCUGUCUGUUUAAUAUUAACAUUUCCUUUCCAUAAAACACUUUUACAGUUUAGUCAUUUUAAUUGGUGUUACCUGUAGUUUUUUAAGCAAACAAACAAACAAACAUACAUACAUGGCGGUUAUUCUGCUGGCCUCUGUCAGUCCAAGAUAAGAGGUACAGUGUAUCUCUGCACAGGUAAGUGAUGUUACUGGUCUCAGUUACAAAUUGCACUUUUAUCAUAUUGUUGCAGCACACAGUAAAUAGCUGCUUGUAAGAGAACAAUUAAUCGUGUAACAGUUUUACUCCACCUCUCAAGGAAUGAGGGAGAAGAAAAAGAGGACUUCUUGUUAUCAGGGCUGAUGAUGAAGAAGGUAAUCAGCAGUUGGAAAGAGACAACACCACCCAGGGAAGUGGUCUGUAAAUUAGAGGAGCAGGUUAGCAGAGCAUAGGAAGGAGGAAAAACACUAGUGUAUUAUGCUGUCAUCUCUCAGGAGUUAGAAUGACGGAAUAGGCACUCAUGGUCAAAGUAUCUCUUGUUGAUCAGUUAUUUUUAAUCUAAUGCCCCUCUCAUCUUUAAUUAUUAUGUAGUUAUUUCUACUGAAAAAGCAGGGUUUAUACUGUGUAGAGUCUAGGGAUAAUGCUGUUGUAUCUGGGAUACUAAAAAUGCUAGUCCUAAAUGUCAUUAAAAACACAAAAAAACCACUAGCUCAUUUUACCCACAUUACAAAUGCAAGCAAGUUGCUCAGCCAGUCACAGACAUAUGUAUUUGAGCCAAAGACUUCAAGCACUACCUUGUUACCUGCACGUAUUUGAAGACCAUAAUUAAGAAGCGCAAAUUGGUUUACAGUAAACACAAGAAAUUGGAAGAGAUCUGUGCUUACAAUUUUCUCAAACACUAAUUUUCUUUAUCUGAGCAUCAAGGGUGAUUAAAAUCAUGGGGCAAUUAGCUGCUGAGUGAAGAGAUCACUUACUGUUGCAGAAAGACAGACCGCCCUUACAAGAUCUCAAAAAUAAAAACCUAGGCUCCAUUUUCAGCUGCAUCCAGUGGUAAGGAAAUGCCAAGGAACUGUUUGUGGCUUCCUGAUCCAAGGCUUGGCUAAGGAUAGUGCAGUACUUGAUGUGGUUUACAGCAGACUCCUGGAACUGAGGGCGCCCAACAGCACUCUGCCUACACCCCUUGCUAAUCAGGAUGUCCCUGGUAUAUCCUCUAGUCUGUGGGAUGGGAGAUAUGUGGCACAGGAACUGGCUAUGAUAGAGAAGUCCCAACCUGGACUUUCCAGACCUUUACCAUGUGAGAGUGGCACAAAAUGGAUCAAGCCAUAAAAGUGAAUAGCGAACUGUGGAGUCUCAUAGAAAAAUUUGCAAAGUGUUUCCCUGAUAUCUCAUAAUGAUCCUAGAUAAGUCACUUAGCCCUAAAUUAUCCCCAUUUGGGGUUUUUCCCUUCUUAGGGGAUCAGAAAAUUGGUGUGUUUGUGAUCAGAGUGUUUCUUUCUAUUUGUUCUAUUGGAGAUUGGGUGAAAUAGAGCUCGAUACCCAAGGAAUUAACAAGGUAGUCAACCUAUGUAUUACCCAAGAUCUUGAGGGAUAUAGUGGAGAUCGAGAUUGACCAAUAGAAGCUUUGUGCCUCUACACUGCACCCUAGUCUCCCCUGACAGGACCUCCACUGGAGAGUGAGUAUGCCAAAAACUGAGUUACCUGGGUGGCCCCAGUAUCAGCACACCCCACAAGAAAAUGGACCAGAUGGCAAUUAGAUUAAGGCUGACAAGACCAAUAUUAACACACUUGAUGAUAUCCUCUGGUUCAGGAAGAAUAAUUCCAUAGAUAGUGGGUUUUUCCCUAGCCAUUCCUUUCUUGUCCCAAUAUAUAACUUCCAUUGCCAGCUGAAGACCCUAAUACACACUGAAAGGGUCCUACGAAUACAGGGAAGCAGACGUAAAGAUUCUGUGGCAGAACUCUCACCAAUCAUGUCCUAUAAAAACAAAAUUGCUGCCUUAGGGUCAAAAGCUGCCUUCAGAUGUCUGGCUCUCACUGGUAUCUAUAGGAGCCACAUCCUAGGGGAGUCAAUAAAUGGACCAUGGGCCAAAUAUGAACUGCCAGGUGCUUUUGAAUGCCCUAAAUUAUAUUAUUAAUUAUUUUAUUUUAUUGCUGGUAACAUGGGAAUAACCAGAAGAAAAAGAAAAACAGAGACAUGAUACAUUUGCUUGGAUGAAGUACAGUUUACUCCUGUUCUUCUGUAUUCAUGAGAGUAAAUUUCAGAAAUAACCAAAGCAAAAGUGACAAAACCCCAAAACCACAAUGAGUAAACAGUAGUUUUUUAAGUGCUGUGGGAACAGAGACAUUUGUUUAAGUAACCACUGUUUAAAAAUUACAGACAUAGUAACACCAAAAUAAACAGAUUGCAAUGCUGUUUAUUUUAAGAUACACAAUAGUAAUGCAAGUGUGACAUGCCCUGAAUUCAGGGUGCACUAACAUUAUUUACAGUUCUGAAGACCAGUAGGAAAACUCAGCUACAUGCCAGAAUACUCCCUGUUCAGAUGAGAUCAAAGGUCAGGCAAAGGAGCGAAUUCAUUUUUUUUCCAGCAAGGAUUAUUUCAACAUGCAGCCACAGAACAGCGCUGCUCGCUCUGCCCAUGUAAGUCAGUCCUUCAAAGUCCUUCAGAAGGCAUUGUUUGUUAGCACCGCGUUGAACAAUGAACAACUAAUUCUGGGGAAGGAUUAUGGAUAGCGAUAGGAGAAUUCAGGAGUAAAUACCGUCAGGGAAUGUCUACACUAGGAAAUUAUUUUGAAGUAAGUAAAUUUCAAAAUAAUAACUCCCGAAAUAACAAAAUCGAAAUAGCAUGUCCCCACUACAAGGAGUGUUGAAAUUCGUCUGAGAUAGGCUCCAUUAAUGUGGAUGCGCUACCUUGACUUAGAGCCCCAGGAAGCACUGGGGAGUAAUUACUUCAAAUUACUCUGGGAAGUAGUUAUUUUGAAAUAGCAGCAGCGGAGCAUGCUAUUUAAAAAUAAGAGUUAUUCUCUGAGGAAAGCAGGAGUACAGACUUAGAAAUAACCAUCCUGCUAUUUCGAAAUAACGGGCUUAGUAGUGUGGACGCUCCACUUUUUAUUUUGAAAUAAGGGGGGUUAUUUCAAAAUAGCUCCCUAGAGAAGAGCAGAGCUCAGAGAGAUUUAAAACCCACUUCACCCACCAUUUUUUAAAAAUUCUCCAAAUAAGCCAUGCUCAUUAGCUCAGUUUGAACUGGACAAAAGAUGCAAAAAAGGGGGUUAAUGCUAACAAAACUUUAAGAGCAGUUCUACUCUGAAAAGUGACUAUGUAAAAAGAAAACCUGCCUUACUAGAUUUGUGGCAUGUGUAUUCUGAGUCAUAUCCGAUUACUUUACUGGCAAAAUUCCAAUUGACUUGGUGCAGGAUCAAACCCUAAAGCAAGUUUAUGCUACUUUUUAGGGUUUUUUUAGCCCACUGGAGCCAGUCUAGCUAUAGGUGAGUGAACUAUUUCUAUUUCAACCCUUGCAUCAUCAACUGAUUUUUUUCUUAUUAUUGCAAAAUUAUUGUUAUGGUAGAAUCUUUAUUGAGAACAAUGACUGUGCCAGAAAGAAUCUAGGCUGGCCCUUGGAUCUCUGGCUGAAUUUGCAGGUGCUGGCAAUUAGAAAAUGCUUAUUUUGACAUGUAAACUGAGCACAUUUGAUCUGUAAGUCAUUGAGACAAACAUGGAACUCCAGCGUCCCGUUAUUACAAAGUCACUUUUCAUAGCAGAACUGCACUUCACAUUCAAAAUAUAAUCUAUUCCUUAUUGGUGGUUUUGAGUGAAAGUGAAAUUCAGCAGUUUCUGUCAGUGGGUUUUGACUCAAUAGUUUCUUGGGUUCACUCCACGUCCCGCACAACCUGAGUUUUGAAUUGAAAUUUGGGGUUGGAACCAACACAAUAUCUGUAAGUGAAAUACAGAUUACUGGAAAACCUUACCUGGUUUGGCACUAGGAUUCCAGUGCAAAACUAUAACCUGACAGUUUUGCAUGAAAUUUGAAGUGGCCCGAGAAGUAAAUGUCACUUUUUCCACAUUGCGCCUCUGUUUUCCCAUCUGUAAAAUGAUGAAAAUAAUACUACCCUCAUUUAUUAAAGGAAAGGCUUGGAGACCAUCUGAUGAAAAGCACUUAUAUAAGAGUUAUUAUAUUAUUCUAUUUUGAACACUCAAGAGUUUCAUGGUAUUUUGAUCCAGGGCUUGAAUUUAGCCACCCUGGAAAUGGGGCCAAAGGUGAAAUCUGGAUCCAGGUUUAGAUUCCAACCAUCAUCAAAGUUGGAAAUGUUAAGAUUGAGGGUCUGAGUUUAGACCUAUCGCUGCUUGAAAUAUUUUUCAACUAUAGUGAGUCAGUUAGACAUUGUGACAGUUGAGAUCAGCUAAUGUGUCUGACAGGCCAUACACAUGGAUGUGUGGGAGUAAGGUAUUUUCAGUGCAGUGUCCUCAACUCUAGACCUUGCACCCCUCAUUGAUUUGACAGAGCCUUAGUCUGCUGACCUUCAACGCACAGUGUAAUUUACAGCUAUUUGUUCAAGCCUUAGCCUGAGGUGAUAGUGUUGUGUAUAUUUGUUAUAUUUACAUCUUAAUUUAGGGGAAUGAAGUCAUUUAUAUUUUGACUUUGGUCAAAAAAAUGUGCAUAGAAAGUAAGAAUUUCUGCACAUGCCUACAGAGCCAACUGGAAUAAGUGUACUUUUAAAAAUCCAAACAUAAAUAAAAAUUAACAAAAACCAUAAAACAAGAUGACUUUGGCGAGGUUUCUUUGUGAACCAGGCUCUCAUGUUUAGGGUUAUGUUGUAAAUGUUUCACUAGAAACAAAAAGUGAGAGGCAGAUGAGAAGAGUCAGGCCUAGAAGGAUUAAACCUACCCCAGCAAGUCAGGAUCACACUGAAUAGUAGUUUCUCAAACUUCAUUGCACCAUGAUCCUGUUCCAACAACCAAACUUCCUACACAAUCCUAGGAAGGGGGACCAAAACCCAAACCCACAGGGAACCCAAAGAUAAAGCCUCAACUUUACCAUCAUGUAGGGCACUAAAGCUUGAGGGCUUCAGCUCUGGGUAGUGGGGCUUACACUUGAAGGGGUUCAGCCUUGAGCUUCAACAAGUCUAAUGCCAGCCCUGGUGACCCCAUUAAAAUGGUAUCAUGAGACCCAGUUUGGGGUUCAGACCCCAAAGCGCUGUGCCGUGUCAUCUUAAAAGUUCCCUAUGAAAAGUUAUUUCCCUGUUUCCUUUGCUUAUUAUCCUACAGUCUUAUAGAUUUUAAUGUCAAUACAUUUUUCUAGUAGUCAGCCUAAAUGUAGGUUUUCAUGCCAUUAUUCCUAAUCAUACCUUUUUAUUCCACCCUACACCAUUCCUCUUCCUCAUUGUUUAUAGCCUUCAAUUAUUCACAGAUUCAUUCCUCAUACCCUCUCUCUGUUUCUCCAAAUCCCAGUUUUUUAAAAGGGGGGCCAGUUAAAGAACAGCAUAGGAUCUCAAUUCUCAGAUCUCAUCGUCUUUCAAUCUCCCUUCCAUUUUUAGGGAAUCAAUGCUCUGCAACUCCUAGUUCUCCAAACAUCCUCUUUCUUUCCAUCUGUAGUCUUUCUCACAGACAUUCACUGGUCUGGCCUCAGGCUACUUUCAUAAUCAUCAAGAAAUAAACCAAACCCGAUGUUCAGCAUGAGAUCACAACACAGUGAUCUCACUCUGAACAUUACCUUUCAUUACAGCAACACUAUUGACUCCUUUGCUUAGAACAGUGUGAAUUUCCCACCAGCUCAGUUGUGUGAUAUUUGGCCUCUUUUAGGCUAACUAACUCCUCAUAGAGCAAGCCUAGAGGACAAAGAGUAGAAAGCUCAUGAGUCUCGAGGGCUUGUUUGCAAUCCUAGCAAAAAGUUUGCUACAGCUCUAGUUCAGGAGAGAGCGGAGUAUUAGAGUGAAAAGGAGGCGGGGGGGACAUUAUCACCUAUCUUCAGCUAGUGUCUUGAAUCGGAUUCAGAUAUCAGGAAGCCACACUUGGGAUAAUGUUAACAGUUCUAGAGUUACUUAUUCAUAACCAUGCUGGCAAAACUUCAUGGUCUUGCUUAUUGGAAGAUUUGUUUGCAUUUGUUUUUAUCCUACAUCAACAUAUAAUUUUUUGAAUAGUGGAAUUUAAUCCCCUUUACAAACCUUAUCUCUCUCUAAAUCAGGGGUGGGCAAGACAUGGGCUAUGAGCCAGAUCCAGCCUGCCAAGCCAUUGGAUCAGGCCUGCGGGCCACAUGAUCCAGCCCAUAGGCUGCCCCUUAGGCACAGAGCAGCCAGCUGCUUCAGAGCAGCCCAAAACCACUUUAAAUGACUAGCUGCUUGCUGUGUCUCUCUGCUCCAGGCGCCAGGGAGAGGGAGGCUUCACGGAAAAUGGCCAAAGGGAGCUGAGAUAUUUUCCUGGAGGGAAAGGCGGUGCGUGAAUUCUCCCCCUCUCCCCAGCACCUGGAGCAGAGAGACACAGGGAACAGCCAGCCAUUUUGAGCAGCCUGGGGCUGUGGCAGGCAGGGAGCCAACUUGGGGUUCUGUAGGGCUGCUGGCCAGCAGCCACCUAGGUAAGUACCUCCCAGCCAUACCCUGCCUCUGGAACCCCAGCCCCUCCAUCACCCUAUCCCUGUUCCAGGCUACUGUCCCCACCUGCCUAGGUCACCAUCAAACCCUCUGCAUCCCCUCCCCUCCUUCCCAGGUCACAACUCCCUCCCUGACCCUGAACUCCCUCCUGCACCCUUGCCUCAGGCCAGAAUUCUCUCCUGCACCCAUGACCCCUCCUGGACCUUGCCCUCCAAGCACCUGUUCCAGAUCACAUCCCCUUCUUCAUCCAAACUCCCUCUCAUACCCCACACCUCUCCUGUACCCCAAUCCUUUUCCUUAAGCUCCCUUCUGCACAUAACCUCCAUCCCAGAUCCUGCACCCCCUCCAUAAACAAGCGCAGCCCUUAACCACUUACCAAAAUUUUGGAGUGGCUCUCCGUCGCAAAUUAUUGCCCAUCCCUGCUGUAAAUGGAACAUGCUUGGAAAAAAGGGGAGACCAUGGCUUUUUCCUUUGAAGUUUCUUUGCAUCCAAAAGCACUGUGGGAUACAAGUUCAGGUUUCAUGGAGCCAGGACAGCUAAAAUUAAUUACAGUAGUGAAUUGUCUGCAAAGGCUAGAUGUGCGCUAAGCAGUGGGAUUUUCUUCUGGUUUGUGAAAUGUUUGCUUGACAUUUAGUGAACAGCAUGAGACACACACAUACAAAGCUCCUUCUCUACGCCUGAGAUAUAAUAGGUAUAUUAUGUUAAAACAAUAUAGGUUGAUUGUGAUCCUUCUAAAAUACAGAAGCCCGUCCCAUCAACCACAGCAAAGGACACACCAACAUCUUUCUUCUAGAAGACUUUACCUCAUUUAAUGAAGUGCCAACAGCACUGAGAGGAGGCAGAGAGAGAAACCAAGAGCAUGUGGAACAUUCCUUUGCAGCAGUAACUGGCAGCAGGGGGUGGAGGGUAUUAAACAAUUUUUUUCUUACCUUGCACAAUAAAUAGCUUAUUUUCAAAUUUCUCUGGGUUUCAUCACAUAAUAAUUUAUUCAGAAGGGAGCUUCUGAGUGUCCCUUUCUCACUGGAAUUACAAAGGACCCUCCAGGGGCUUAGCAAUAUUCAGCAGGGCUUAGAAACACAUAUUCAAACUAGGGCCUAUGCUCGGUAGCACUGACCCUUUUUAUAUACAACCUCUUUUGUCACCCUUUUUAAAUAUCCAUUUCACUUUCUUCACACCCCUGCUGUCUCUGCCCCUUUGCUAUCACCCCUCCUUAUGCAAGCAAAUGGCAACAAAAACUUUCAUCCCCUACACCCUUGCCUAGGAUUGGCCUCCCCUUGUGGCUUGCUGUUCUGGCAGUAAGGAGGCUACAAACAGACACAAAGGUAGGCUUCAAAAGAGCUCACAGCUGCCUCUCUCUGCUCCUUAGUAGCCAUGGGACUUUCCUAAAGUGAAGGAGGGUCUUUGGAAGCUUUCUAAUUCCUGCUUGUCCUUUGCUCUUCCCUCUGGUGCACUCUGGGGUGUCCCACUUCCCCCUCCCUCUUCGAGCUAAUCAAACACUGGGAAAGGAACAGAUGGGAAGUAGCUGCAUGCAGCAAAAGAGACUGCAAAGGACCAGCAGGAGUAGGAAAGUUGUCAAAAGCCCUGCUUCACUUUAGGAAACUCCCAUGGUUAGUGAAGAAGAGGAGAAACAUCUAAUGACUCUUUGAAACCCAGCAUUAUAUGUCUUGUUUGAUGCCACUUAGCCGUUCUCUUCCCUUCAUGCCAGUGGAAGCCCCAGUCAUACCAUGGGGUAAAAUUUGUGCCCAGCGUAGUUUUACUUAUUACCUGGAUAAUCUCAGAACCUCUUAGGACAGCUGAGGAAUACUAGAUUCCAUGGGCUUUUAACAACCCUGUUGACAGAUUUUCAGCAAAGAUAGAACUUGAGACCUUCCUCAAUGAGCAGCACAGGAGAAAGACAUAGGUCAUUGGGGCUAAUGCACCUACUGCUGCUGAAAAGCUGUUCUCUUCAGUGUAGACCAGGGGGAACACAUCACAACCCUAGGUAUUAUACACUCUCCCUGACUGGGGUAGUUCAUUCUGAGCUUUUGAAGUCUACAACUAUGUGAUUUCCUGAACAGACAUCUGAUUUAUGAGACCUGUUCAUCAGCAAGGAUGCACCCAGCAAUGACACAGGUCGGUAAUAACAAAGCUAUUCUAAGCAACUCUUAUAUGAUGCUUUUCAUCCACAUAUCUCAAAGUAUAUUAAAGGAGGCCAGUGUCAUUAUCCCCAACUGUAUACAGGGGGGAACCAAGGCAAGGUCACCAGCAGAAAAAGGAAAAAGAACCCAACUUUCCUGAGUCCCAGUCCAGGGUACUAAUCAUUCAGCCAGUUUCCCUGGUAGCAGUAUUCUGUGGUCUAGUCACUAGAGGGAGACAUGUUGCCCUUCCUCCUCACUAAAGCAAUUGGUAAUUCCAGAACCAGAUCAGCAGGGCUUGAAGGUUUUACAAAUAUCUAAUAUAGUGUAUGAAUCAAUAGCUCUUUUGAAGUAAUCAUAAUCUUUGGGGUUAUUAGGAAGCAAAACUGACCUCAUUAUGACCUCACGGUCUCAUCUCCUACCGUAUGCUGUUUCUAUAUUAGCGCUCAGAUAGAUCCCUUAAAAAUUACGGAAGGACAAAGAUGGCUAGGCAUUAAUCUGUGAAUUAUCUGCAACUAUUUCAGUACAGUGAAAUUAAACCUACAUGUUUGCCCCUGCUAGGGAAAAAAGGGAAGCUGUUUUUAAAAAGACAAUAUUGGGUAAUAAUGCAGCAUAUAUCAUCUGUUAAUUUUUUUUUCAAAUUAGUAUAACAGGGUUCAAAGUACUCUUGAGUAGAUUUUCAUCUCAGAAAAUAUCUACUCUAUUUGUACAGUAUAAAAGUGAACAGCAGAAUUACCAUUGCUUUGAGACUUAGGCAAAUAUAGUUUCCACUUUAGAAUAUUCAGCUACCACUUAGAAAUGUACUUCAAUCCAAGCAGAAAAUAAUCCACACGACAGUCACAUUUCUAUGUAACCAUGCAAAUAAAUAUAUACAGAUUUUUUUAUAGCAAACUAAAAUUUUAGUUGAUUUUUUUUACUAAAUUCAAACUCUGAUUCAGUGUACUGGGACUGUAAAAGCAUGUCAUGAGGUGUUAAACAUUUUAUGGACAAAGUAGUCAAAAGCUACAAAUAUUUUCUUUGAAAAUACCAUAAUAAAAAGAUAAAACCAAGAUUUAAAAAAUAUCUUUAUGCCAUUAUACAGUGACUUGACAACCUAUCAUCCACUAUUAGACAAAACAAUUGAAAUUAAUUCUGGCAGAUAUGGGACUAGCAGUUAAAAAUAAAAAUAGCACAUGUAAAAGCAUGAAAACUGUAUUGCUAUUAUGUUUUAAGAUAAUAAUAAAUCUUUAAAGGUGCCAAUGAUUGCUUUGGAUACUGUAAACAGCUGCUGACAAUCAACUCUGAAAUAUGUAAUACAUUGGUAUUCUGAGUGUAACUUAAGGCAAACUCCAUGAAACCAAAAGUAAUGUUGUCUGCCAUAAACGACUCAUUUCAUUAGACAGAAAUGGGACUAGACAUCUCCAUUUCAUAGUCAUGUUGGAAUGGUGCAUGCAGAUGACAGAAUUGCACACUCAUUACACUAUAGCUCUAAUUUUAUAGAAAAUUAUUCCUGAAAAACAAUUAUUCUGUUCAGAGAUCUUGAAAAGGUGGUUUUAAAUAAACAUGUCCUAAGGCAAAACUGAGGGGUGGUAUCAUUUUACACAAACAACUGCAACAAUUUUUCUAUAAAAAGAAAAACUACAGUGUGGAGAAAGAAGGUUCUGUGACUAUCCUAUUGCAAAAUGUUGUUAAGCAAUGCAACUUUAAGCUAUUCAGAUGAUCUUUGACCUUUGUUCCAUUGUGAUCUGAAUAUUCAGAGAUUCUGUUGCACAGCAUUUAAGACUGCAACAUUUUGGGAGUUUUUAAACACUUGGCUAUGCACAUUUGCAUAUGCCUUUAUUCAAUCUCUUUUACCUUGCAAUCCUCAAAGCUACAACUUUACCUUUAUGAAUUCUUGUGGUUAGUUUUCAUUUUUACAGUUAUUUUUGGGAGUUCACCACAUGAACUCUGGGACCUUCACAUUCUUUCCUCUCUUUUUUUCAAUUAAUUCCUGGAUUUCUGGUUUUACAAGGCUUUUGUAAUCUAAUGAUAACAACCAGAAAACACAUUGACUGUUCAUAUCUUGCUAGCCUACUACCUCUACCUUGCUCCGUUGAGCCAUUUUUAACAGCACUACCAAGUACAUGACUUAAGUUGCUAUCUCUUCCCAGUUAUUAAUACCUUGUUUGAAAAUACCAUGAAAAAUAUUAAAUGGGGAAAUAAAAUUUGUUUCCCAAAGCUAGCCAUUGAGUGGGUUCUAAGAUCUAUUGUCUGAUGGUUAGGAGGUUACUUCACAUGUUGUAUGGGCAAACUUCACCCUGCAGAAGAGAGCCAAGACACUACUUAAAUCUCAUGUUAUCCGUACACAGGGAAGAGGCUAGAUGCAGGCAGAAUGGCAGCACUGAAGCUACUACAUCCCUUACACACUAGAGACAGGAGGGCAGCAAGCUAACACCAAAUAGACUGGUGUGUAGAGAGCUAUUGUGGUAGCCAUGGAAGAGUUCUAUUAUGCAGACUCAAAUCACCCUCAUAGAGGUUAUAGAAGGGGUCCUCUGCAGUCCUCAACCUGAGCGUGGGUUGAGGGGCAACGCAUUCCAUCUCCUUUACCUAUGCAGACUUCUCUGAAUAAAACCUGAUUACUUAUAUAUGUGUGUGGGUGUAUGUUCAUUUCACCCUAUACAAAAUUUAGAAUCUUCUUAGAUAACAACUUUAUGACACAGCAAACACAUUUCUGAAAAUACUGUUUUUAAAGCAGAAACAUAUUUUACCUUCUGAGAUGGGCAAUAAAGAUUUGCUUCCCGAAUGACCCAAGGAAAAAAAAUCAAAUGGAAAAGUAGUAAUUACUCCCAAACCUUCCAUGAGUCUAUCAGACUAUUGAAAUUUUGGACUGUCUCUUUAAUUUGAGGAACAGCUAAAAAGACGACAGAUGGCAGACAGAAUUGACUUAUGUCCUCUAUUCUUUACAGAAAAGGGGGGAGUGCAGAAAGUUUGAUAAAGGCAGAAGCUACAGUAUGCAGGCCUGUACUAUAACUAUCUAAUGGUGCUUUUGACUGAUAGGGUUAGAACAUUUAGUUUUUCUUCCACAGACAUGCUUUGUAGCAAACCAACAGUCCUGGAGGUUGCCAUGGGUGAUGAGAGUGCUGACAUCCAGUCCCAAGUACAAAUAAGCACAUGACAAAUGGCCCUACAGCCCUUAGACAGCCCUGAACCUUGGUGACCCCCUAAAAACCCAACCAUCCCCAUGCCCCUCCAAAAAGCAUUAUGGAAUACAUUUUAAAAAGUGCAAGCUUACAGUUAAUUGAAAACACUGCUGGGUAACAGAAAUGCUUAGGACAGCAUGCACAAGUAAAAAUAAAUCACAUAGCAUUGUUAUUUAAUGCUCUGUGACAUCAUUUCCUGAAAUUAAACAGAGAUGACACAGAUUCAGAGAGUCCCUGGUAAGGUUCAGUUCAAACAAUUCACAGAUGUUUUCCCCCAGCUAGCAGAAAACAAUGCAAAAGCUUAAAUCUCUCUCUCUCUCUCUUUGCUGGAGCAAGAAGGCCCCAUGUUAUGGACAGUGCAUUGUUGUGCUGCCCCAGGAGAACCGGAGUCAGAUGAUGACUCUGAAGUUCUUCCCAUUUCCUGACAACCAGCUCCAUUGAGACUGCUUUCCUUGCUGCUCCAGAUCACAAAAACAGGAACAUCCUCAUCAAAGCUGCUGAACUUCCUCAAUUCAUGUGGGCAAAGGAGGUGGUGGAGAAUGGAGGGGGUGGAUUUCCAAAAGGCAAAGCCGUGAGGAUUUUUUCUCAAGAUAAGUGAGAGAUAGCUGAUUGUUCAGUAAGCAUGUGUUGAAUGCUUUCAAUGCGCACACAAGAAAGAAAGGAAGCAAGGGGGGGAAAACAAGAAAUUGAAAACUUUGGUAAGAGUUAAGGAAAUGAACAUGAAGGCUUGUGUGAAAGAAAAUGGAUUAUUUGUGGGCCGUGGUUUUAGCUGUUUCCCCUUGCUGUUCCUGUAGUCAUACUCUCCAGCUAAAAAUGAAAAACCCUCUCCUCACACUCACUCGACUUCCAAAUUAAAAACAUUUUACAGGUUAGUAAAUCUCCAGCUGAGGUGAUGUAGCAAAGAACAGCUGUGAAGUAAUUUUGAUAAUGAUGAGAAUAAUAAGCACAUGGCAAGGUUCAGGGCUUUGCUGUUGCAGCUUCAGUGCUCCUGAAUAGAUAAAAGUGAUUAAAUACUCCUGAUUAUCCCUGACCAAUAUGUAAUGGAUUUACAGCCCUUUCAAUUAGUCAGUAUUUGCUUAGGACUCAUUAUUUUGUCUUUGGUUAAGUAAUCAGCCCAGAGACUCAUGUUCUGUCUAAUUCCUCUGAGCCAAGUGGGUACAGGGCACCUGACCUUUGAAAUGGCCAUAGCUGGAAGGCAAGAAUAACCACUACUCCAGCAGAGACACUGGCUAUUCUAGCUAAUCCUGACCCCACAGGCCAGAUCAAUGCACCUUAGUUUGCUACUAAUGUCCUUACAUCAAAAUGAUGGUUUAGAAAUGUGGAUCUACUUACUGCUCCCCUGCCUCCCCUUAGCUGUUCUACGAGCCACUGCUAUAAAUAAAAGGGUUACCUUGUCCAGGAAUCACGACACUGUAACAUCAGCAACUAUGGACAUGUGUAACUUUGGUAAUCAGAAAGAAGCCCUUAUGUGAGGUAGUUAGCCGUGCUAUUAUCUUUUUAAUCAUUAGCCCAAACGGAAUGAGGAGGGAACAAUUUCAUAGGAAGAGGUGAAAAAAAAAUCUAUCAUCAAUGAUAUUUUUACCAUUUUCUAACAUUUCCAUCUGACUAGUAAACUAUAGGAGAGUUACCAGUUCUUUAAAAAUGUAUUUUGAUACUUAAGUAAAGCUGUCAUAGUCAACAGAACACCAACACACAAAACCAGUUGCAAACAGGAGGACAAAGAUAGAUUGUUACUAAAAGUGAUGCUUUUUCAGAUAUUUAAUCUCUUUCCCCCAGAAGAGAAUAGGGCUAGCUUUUAAGAUAAUGGACUUGAAGAACAGCUUUAAAAGAAAAAAAAGUGUUUUAAUCUCUUUUAUAGAACUGAGGAAUUAGAGAGCCUAUAAGCUUUCUAUAUUUCUCAUGUAAACUAACACAUGACAAGUUUGCAAGCUGUUUUAUGACUUCUCCAGCAUCCUGCAAUGUACGUUGGAAUAGCUACACUGGGGAAUAUUACUUGCCUUCCGAAACAUAUAAGGGUUGUUGUAAACAAAAGCCAUAAAUAACCCAAUCCAGAGGAUGGAGUGAUUCAACACCUUGAUUAAUUGUCACUAUAUCUAUCUAUCUACAGACACACACUAUAUUCCAAAUGAAGAAACCCCUUUUCAUCUUAAGAACAUUUUGAACAGUUCUCACUAUUGGAACGCAAAGCAAAAAUGACUACCUUCUACUGUAAUACUGUUUCAUGCUAAGAUCUUAUGAUGUAUAUUCAACUUGUCAUGAUUCCAAGACUGAAAUAAAUAAAUACAGAAAAAAGCUUCUGAAAAAAAAUAAAAGUGAUCACUGAUCCCUACUAUCAUUCAGGAAAUGAUGGAGACAAUUGAUUUCUAAUAAUAACGAACAAACCUCAUCAGGCAUAUGAACAAAAAUUUAUUUUUUAUGUUUUUAUUAGUUUG